UUAAUGAGAGUUUGAUCCUGGCUCAGGACGAACGCUGGCGGCGUGCCUAAUACAUGCAAGUAGAACGCUGAUGUUUGGUGUUUACACUAGACUGAUGAGUUGCGAACGGGUGAGUAACGCGUAGGUAACCUGCCUCAUAGCGGGGGAUAACUAUUGGAAACGAUAGCUAAUACCGCAUAAGAGUAUUAACACAUGUUAGUUAUUUAAAAGGAGCAAUUGCUUCACUGUGAGAUGGACCUGCGUUGUAUUAGCUAGUUGGUGAGGUAAAGGCUCACCAAGGCGACGAUACAUAGCCGACCUGAGAGGGUGAUCGGCCACACUGGGACUGAGACACGGCCCAGACUCCUACGGGAGGCAGCAGUAGGGAAUCUUCGGCAAUGGACGGAAGUCUGACCGA
rnacentral:rRNA from 1 species